GUUUCAACGGAAUAAGUGAGAGAGAGAGAGAGAGAGAGAGAAGAGUAAAGUAUUCUCUCGACCGUUGUUUAAAAUAUUCGUGUAAACAGUCCCGCACAGCUUUAGAAUAGUUCUCUUCCUUCUUUUUUCUCUUCGUUUCUUACUCGCGUAUUUGUCGUCAAACACGCGGUACCCACCACCAUCAUUCAGAAAGAAAGACCGACGAGGAAGAGAGGAUCGAAUACCAUAGAAAGAUGGCGGAGGAAUUCUAUAUGAAAGUUUUCAUCUUUGCGUUCUUACUCCCGGUACUUUGCGGUGGAAACGAGUUGAAGGAGUACUGUUCCACGCACAGGUUCGACAAUCUACAAGGUGGCUUAAGAUUCACCAAGGAGGUCAUCAGUACUGAAUACACUAACGUAGGACGCUUCAAAUCUCUUCAUUGUUGUCUACGUGG